GUCAAAAGCCUUACUGAAAUCUAGGUAAGCAAUGUCUACUGCACCACCCUGAUCUAUCAUUUUAGUUACCCAAUCAAAAAAAUCAAUAAGAUUAGUUUGGCAUGAUCUCCCUGAAGUAAACCCAUGUUGUCCCUGAUCUUGAAAUGCAGGUGUUUUUAGAUUACUCUACUUUGUGAAUCUGUGUGAAUAUCAGGGAUGUAUACAAUGUUCACACUUUAACAGAUUUAAAGAAACUUAAAAAAAAAUGUUCCCUUUAUAGUACUAUGUUAACCUUUCUUUGAUGGAUCUUUUCUAAGCCCCAGGGGUUACUAAACUUCAUCAUAAUUUGAUGUUCAGACAGGAUGGAUGCCUACAUUACUGAUGCCUCAAUUAAUGUAAUUUGUAGUUGCUGCUGCAUUUUCCACCCUAAGUUUAUAGUCGAGUCAAUACGUUUUCCCAGUUUUUUGUGGUAAAAUUAGGUGCCUCGGCUUAUAUUCGGGUCGGCUUAUACUAGAGUAUAUACGUUAUAUAUCGUGGAGGCAGAGUUCAAGGACAUGAUGGCUAUCUUGUUACUCUAGUUCAUUCAAAUGUACAAGGUCACGAAGGAGCACAGGGGGCAAAGCUGUAGCUACUUGAAUGUGGCCCCACACCAAUUACAGGUAUGAAUAGGAUCAAACCUGUGAUUAGGGAGUAUGAAUAUUUUCUCUGCGAGGAAGGGUUAAAUAAAAAGACUGAGUAAUACAAUUGGAAACAGAGGAAUAUGGGAAUUAGGCAAUAUGGACAAAUAAAAUAGAUAACAGUUUAUGUAAAAAUAUGUAAUUACUGAGAGUAUUAAAUUGUGCUACUGUAAAACAUAAGCAUAUCUAAAAUGCCAUAUUUUAUAUAAGCUUUUGUAUGAAAGGUACCAUAUUUCAUGUUUAUUCUGAAUUCCCAGACACCUGGUGUUUAUACAGAUCAUUGAGUGACUUUGACAUGCAAUAAUAAUUAUGUAAAGCAGUCGCAAAUGAAAACUAAAGAAAUAUAUU